GGGGCGGGGGGAGCCCGGACAGGAGGUGAGCGCGAGUUCCUGCAGGCCCACCCACCCCAGUUAGCGGCGCACAGAGGCGUAUCUCCCCCGCGCGCAGACCCCUCGGGCCCCGCCGGGUUAGAACUGAGCGGGUAGUGAAAGGCAAGCCCCUCGGCCAGCCGCCGCCAGGGCUGGGGGCCGAGCCGAGAGGUCCGUCCCCCGCCGCCCGCGUCGGACCCGCCCUGGCCGCGGGAGGCGCGCGGCCGCCGGGUGUGAACGGCGGCGGUUUCUGCGGUCUGGCCCGCGGCCCGCUGGAAAACCAGCCUGAACUUGAUCCCGAGCGCGUCUAACUGAGGUUAAGCAUGCUUGGGCUGGGGAAUAAAAACUGAGGGCUUGGGCUCACGUUUAUUGAGCAAGACUUCCUAUACACGUCAUUGUUAAACACUUCAGAUGGAUAUUCUCAUUCAACUGCCAACAAUCCUUCCGGUGCUCUUCUGCAGAAACCUUGACCUUCCCAACGGUGAUGGAAUGACCCACAGUACCAGCUGUAUCCUGGGGGCCAGGUGGCAGCAAACCAUCUGUUAACAGCAGUACUAAAUGGAUGGGGCAGGUGGAUGUCAGGAAAUGGAAGGGACACAAGAAGGACUUCCAACUGCUGACUCCAUCAGACCCUUGAUGGCCUGUGAAAAGGUCCAUUCUCAAAUUCUCAAGGCUCCCAGCUGGCUUAAAAAUGUCAACAAAGAAUCUUUCUACUUAUCAAGUAUUUUAUUUCCCCAUUUAAGCAAGAAGUCUGCAGAGAAGAGGGCCCAAGCUCCCGUUUAAUCUAAGAACCAGGACUCAAGGGUUUCAUGUUGGCAAUUUAGUAACCUGUAUGCGUAGACGCUUCUUUGGAUAAAUCAAAGCUUCCAUGGAAAGUGUCUAAACCCUAUAAAAGUAAUUUAUUUGCUUAUCCACCAAA